GAUGAAGAACGUAGCGAAAUGCGAUAAGUAAUGUGAAUUGCAGAAUUCAGUGAAUCAUCGAAUCUUUGAACGCACCUUGCGCCUUUUGGUAUUCCGAAAGGCACACCUGUUUGAGCGUCAUGAAUACCUCAAUCUCCAUCUUUUCUUCGGAUUGAUGGGUGACUUGGAUGUUGAGCCCUGCUGGUAUGCUAUAUCAGCUGGCUUUAAACUUAUUAGCCGGCUCUGUACUGGAUCGGUUUGACUCGACGUGAUAAUAUUAUCGUUGAGGAUGCAUGUCUCAUGCAGCCGGAAAGUAUCAAAGCAGCUUCUAGCUUGCCUUUAGUGAACUUUUACAUUUUAGACCUCAGAUCAGGUGGGACUACCCGCUGAACUUAAGCAUAUCAAUAAGCGGAGGA
rnacentral:misc_RNA from 1 species